UAUGCAUCCUGACCACUUAUUUCCCAGUCCUCCCCGGUCCACUCUCUCUCGUGACUUUCUCUAAAACAAAGAAGAAAAGAAAAAGAAAAAGAAAAUACCAAGUGCAAUUUGUGUUGCCCAUAUUCUCACCACAGCACGGUCAAACUCCCAGUGGUCGGCCCCUUUAAGAAAACGGUGUCCUUCCGUCCCCGACUCCUGCCAGAAGCCAUCAGCUGGAAGAGCUACACUUCAGCAUCCCUAUCACAACCUGGUUUUUUUUAAGAUUCAUUUAUUUUAUGUGCAUCUGUGUUUUGCCUUUUAUGUAUGUCUGUGUGAGGGUUCCAGAUAUCCUAGAACUGGAGUUAUCGGCAGUUGUGAGCUGCCAUGUGGGUUCCCAGAAUUGAACCCAAAUUCUCUGAAAGAGCAGCCAAUGCUCUUAACCACUGAGCGAUCUUUCCCUGACUCCCCACUCCAUAUCAUAACUUUUUUUGUUGUUGUUAAUUUUUGAGACAGGGUCUCACUAUAGCCCUGGCUGUCCUGGAACUCACUCUGUAGACCAGGCUGGCAGUGAACUCAGAGAUUUGUCUGCCUCCGGAGUGCUGGGAUUGCGAGUGUGUGAUUUCACUUGGGUAGGGGGCAAGGUGUGUGUGUAAUAUACAAAAUAACGGGAAUGAAGUGGGCCAACCCCUCCAGAAUAACUCUCCUAUUCAUUGUACUUUUGCUUCCACCCAUGUGCCACCGCCUCCCAGCUCCCUUUUUAGAGUUUUUUUUUUUUCCAAUGACUUUCUGUCCAGACUUUCUUUUUAGGGGAUUGGAGGAUGGGAAGUGGGGGUGGGGGAGAGAAGCAGUCACAGAGGUCUUCUAUGUCUCUCAUUCUCAACUGUGAGUCUGCAAUCAUCAAUACCACUGCAAAAGAAGCAUGCUUGCCCUUUACAGUCAGCAGCAGCAAGGAUCAUGGACGUCCACAUGGUUUCUGGCUACAGCACGGGCCGCAGACAGACCAUGGACAUUCCCAAGGCCUUUGGUGGUAACAAGGACCAUGAGCAUCAACCCCAGGGGCAGCACAGCUCACUGUCACCAACGUGGCUUCGGGCAGCAGCUCAGAUCUCCACAUCCACCUGGCCUUCAGUGGUAACUCUCGCAACUGGCAAUUUCUUAAAGAGACAAGUCUCUUAUGUAGUGAGACCUCAAAUCCACAGAAAACCUCUGACUCCCAAGUGUUGGGAUUAAAGGGCCAGAACAAACAAGGAACCGAGGAAGUGAUUGGGUCCUGCGGAUCGCGUUACGGAACCUCUGAGGGCUGUACUUGUCCAGGCCAGCCUUCACAUCCUAUCUCACCUCACCUGACCCUUUUCCACCACGAGGGGGGGAUCUGUUUUCUUUGGGCAGCCUCUCCACAUGUGAUGUCCCCGAGCAGAACAGAUGAACCUCAUCAGUGUGGAGUGGCCCUAGAAAGAAGUGAUGCGCUCUGAGAUGUGUUCUCUUUGUGCAGGCCCCCCUCUGUGAGAAGGCACCUGAUAGCUAGUGCUAAUCCUAUGUAAAUCUCUAUUGGCUUCCUGGAAAGAUGGCCUUUGGACACGCUAGCUCGCUAGCUCGGGCUCCUGGAAUUCAUUAUAGAGCACAAGCCAACACUGAAGUCAAAGCAAUCCCCCGGUUUUUGUCACCAAUCUUGCUUUAGAUGGGCUUUGUUGUUUUGUUUAUUUCUGAGACAAGGUUUCUCUGUAGAGGAGGUUUCAAGAUCCUCCUGCCUUGGGAUUAAAGGUAUGUCUGGACUUAAGGUGGUUAGUUUUUUGUUGUUGUUUUGUUUAAAGUUUUAUUUUUUGUGUAGGAGUGUUUUGCUUCUCUCUCUCUCUCUCUCUCUCUCUCUCUCUCUCUCUCUCUGUGUUUGUGUGAGUGUGUGUGUGUUUGUGUAAGUGUGUGUGUGUGUGUACUUAAUAUGUACCUGGUGCCCACAGAUGGCCUGGAACUGCAGAUUAUGAGUUGUCAUGUGGGUGCAGGUGAGUCCUCUGAUGGUGUGUCAAGUCCUCUUUCCUGCUGAGUGGCUCUGGAGUCAUCUUUGCCUCAACACAUUUGUCUCAAAGCUCAAUACUUCGAAGUCACUUUAAAAGUAGAUGGUUUGUAUCACUGAAUAAAUUCACCAGAUGUGGAGGUUGGGCGGUCCAUGCCUGUCUGUAGGACCAGGGUUCAAUUCCCAGCAUCCAUCCCGGGUAGCUUACAACUACUUACAAUUCCAGCUCCAGAGGUCUGAUACUCUCUUCUGGCCUCCACGGACACUUGCAUAUAUUUAUACCAACAUAUAAAUAAAAAACGAAAACAAAC
rnacentral:lncRNA from 1 species